ACAAACUUGGUCAUUUAGAGGAAGUAAAAGUCGUAACAAGGUUUCCGUAGGUGAACCUGCGGAAGGAUCAUUCAAAAUAAAAGUGAAAUUUUAUGGCACUUUUAAAACAAUCCAUAUCCACCUUGUGUGCAAUGUUUUUUGAAAGAGAAUAUAUAUUUAUAUAUGUUCUUUUUUCUUUUAACUUAUAAACUUAUUUUAAUCAAGAAAUCGUCUGAAGAAAAUAUGAUUGAAUAACUUAAUUCAAAAAUAUAACUUUCAACAACGGAUCUCUUGGCUCUCGCAUCGAUGAAGAACGCAGC
rnacentral:misc_RNA from 1 species